CGCGGCCUAUCAGCUUGUUGGUGGGGUAAUGGCCUACCAAGGCGACGACAGGUAGCCGGCCUGAGAGGGCGACCGGCCACACUGGGACUGAGACACGGCCCAGACUCCUACGGGAGGCAGCAGUGGGGAAUAUUGCACAAUGGGCGAAAGCCUGAUGCAGCGACGCCGCGUGAGGGAUGACGGCCUUCGGGUUGUAAACCUCUUUCAGCAGGGACGAAGCGUAAGUGACGGUACCUGCAGAAGAAGCGCCGGCCGACUACGUGCCAGCAGCCGCGGUAAGACGUAGGGCGCGAGCGUUGUCCGGAUUUAUUGGGCGUAAAGAGCUCGUAGGCGGCUUGUCGCGUCGACUGUGAAAACCCGCAGCUCAACUGCGGGCCUGCAGUCGAUACGGGCAGGCUAGAGUUCGGUAGGGGAGACUGGAAUUCCUGGUGUAGCGGUGGAAUGCGCAGAUAUCAGGAGGAACACCGGUGGCGAAGGCGGGUCUCUGGGCCGAUACUGACGCUGAGGAGCGAAAGCGUGGGGAGCGAACAGGAUUAGAUACCCUGGUAGUCCACGCUGUAAACGUUGGGCGCUAGGUGUGGGGGACCUCUCCGGUUCUCUGUGCCGCAGCUAACGCAUUAAGCGCCCCGCCUGGGGAGUACGG
rnacentral:rRNA from 1 species